rnacentral:rRNA from 1 species
UACGUAGGAUGCAAGCGUUGUCCGGAUUUACUGGGCGUAAAGCGCGCGCAGGCGGCACGGCAAGUACCCUCUGAAAUCUCCCUGCUCAACGGGGAGGGUGGAGAGUAGACUGCCGAGCUAGAGGUGGGUAGAGGGUGGUGGAAUUGCUGGUGUAGCGGUGAAAUGCGUAGAGAUCCGGAGGAACACCAGUGGCGUAGGCGGCUCUCUGGGUCCGCCCUGACGCUGAGGCACGAAAGCGUGGGGAGCGAACGGG